AAGUCGUAACAAGGUUUCCGUAGGUGAACCUGCGGAAGGAUCAUCACUGAUUCGGCCCUGACUGACACGCACCUGUGGUAGAGAUUGCAAGGCGUCCGGUGCUGCGCGCGGCCCUGGGCGCCUAUCUUUUUUCCUCAUUCACGCGGUUUCUUUCUUUUUAAAAAAAAACCAAACCAAAACACAACUUUUAACAACGGAUCUCUUGGUUCUC
rnacentral:misc_RNA from 1 species